GCGGAACAGCGAGCAGGGAGAACCGGGGACGGAGGCGCCUACGUCGACCACAGGUCCAACGGCGAACAACGGCAGUGCGUGGGAGAACCGGGAUGAUGACGGAAUCGAGGGGGCAAGGGUCCAAUCUACUCCUGGGAGGAGAUGUCGGCGAAGUUGCUCCGGAGAGCACUACCAGGUCACCUCCGCGGCUGCCGUCCGACCCAGGGUCGCCAGCGGCUUCGUCACCGCGUCGGAGCAUGGAGGAAAUGUCUGAAUCGGACUCUGGGUCGGAAAGGGGGACGAAGAGGAAGAGGGUCACCGAGCCUAGGGAUGGGGAUUCGGCGGGCUCUGGUUCCGACUCCUCUGGCUCUCCGUUCCGCAGGCCCAAGGCUCCCCUGAUGCCCAUCUGCACGGAGGAGGAUGGCACCGUGCUCUACGGCUUCACUGACGACCAAGACGUCAUGGACAGAUACCAUGAUGAUAUGCAGAAAUACAUCAAGAAAAGGGAUCGUCACAAGCGGAUGUUAACACUUGCACCGUCCAGUGUCACCGAACGCCGCACCGCCAAGGAGACAGAGUCUGUUCUAAAGUGUGCUGAAUCGGUUCUAAGCCUUUCAGCCUACCUGGAUGGCAAGAUGAUAAACCAGUGCACAGGGAUUGUCGUUGAGGUAGAUGCAUUUAGGAACUCCGCUAUCAUUCUCACCUCAGCAUGGCUUUUCUGCACCAAGAAACCUUUGGAUGAUUGGACAAAAAAGGAGUACGCUACUGAGGCAAAGGUUAAUGUUCAUAUGUUGGAUGACUCAACUUUAGAAUGUCGUUUGAUGUUCUUCAGCAAGCACUAUGAAAUAGCCUUCUUUGAGAUUAGUGGGGAUAUUUCAUUGAAGACUUUGUCAUUGGAACGUAAUGUGGAGUUAGGCCAGGAUGUAUUUCUAUUGGCUAGAGAUACAAAUUUGAAUCUGAUUUAUAAGCGAGACAAGGUGCAACUUGUAGAUCCUUGUGAACAUCAGCAAAAUCACUAUCAAUUCCUCAACGGUCCAAUUCCUCAGGUUAUAGUCAUCUUUUCUCCUCUCCCUCUCCGGCCUCACCUCUUCUCCCUCUGCUACUGCUAGCGAGCGCAACGGCGGGCGAACCAGAGGAUCUCGAUCUUCGCCACCGCAUCCUUGGCUCCAUGUCUUCUGCCAGCGGCGUAGUUUGGCGGACGGGUGGUGGAGAACGAUGCAGCCAUCCCCGUGGUCGGUCCCCUUUCCCAAGUGGAGGAGAGGCGUGCACGUGGUCGUCGGCGGAGCGAUGGGAUUGGAUUGGGGGCAGGGAUUGUCGGCGCUAGGAUUCCACGGCGGCCGGUGCCCGAGGUCGGUGAAGGCGCGGAAGAUCUUGGCGGCCAGGCUGAGGAUACGGCGGUUGACCACCAGACCGUGUUGCCAUCGAUGCCAAUCAGGUGGCGGCGCACGCGCUAGGAUCGUCGCGGUCUAGCGCCCUGACGCCAGGGACAUCACGCCCACGCUGCUCUUCUACUGUGCUACACCGUCCAGGUCCAGUACAAGCAGGUAUGACGUAUGUCUUCAUAUUUGGGGCUUCUUUUCCAGUCUACGGGUAGUGUGUCUGUGAUCGCCUGAACCGAUGCAAUCCAGUGAUGUCGAUGGAACUAUUCGGUGCAGACUUUCAAUCUCCUUCAGCUUUGAAAUUUUGAGUACGUUGCAGUCUAGCUUCUCUUUGAGUCCAGUUAAUUUCCGUGAUGAUUGAUACACUGGGUGAGCACCUGAAUCGAUGGCAGUUUGCAGAUUACUAAUAAAGAUUUAUGUCAUGGAGGAUCCCAGUGCAUAACAAAGCGUGGCGAGGUGGAUGGAAGAAUCAUCUCAGAUUGAGCAAGGGACAGUAACGUAAGUGUCAUAUUAUCUCUAUCUUUUCUCACUGUUGAUACUUAUGUUAAAGAAUCUGUAGUAAUCAACCAAUCCUCGUGUCCUCAUGGUGAAGUACUCCUUGGUAUUGGUUUGCUAAUUUAUUGCUGAAUAGCAAUCUAACUGCUGCAAUUGGUUAAAAAAAUGACCUGAAGGGUGAACCGGUGAAAAAAUGAUAUUGGUAUUUAUAUUUUCACUGGAUCCUUGCUUUGUGUUAUAUUACAGAUUCCCUGGAUGCGUUUUGUAGGCACAGGUUGAUUGAUUAUCCCAAUAUCUCUUCUCGACAUAGGAACGUUCAUAGUACAGUAGAUAUUUUUAAAUAGCACUGAAUUAGCACGAUGAAACUAAGAUUAUAGCAACCCAACUUGUAGCUAGCAGGACCAAUCGAAAGUGAAAGGGAAGAUAUCUUUUAUAGCUUAAGGGCAUCUCUAGAAAAGGUCUAGAUCCAAUCGUCGAUAUUUCCAUAUAUGCUAUAUACUCUAAGGGAUUUCUCCUUUAUAUCAUAUUUUUUCAAACAGGUCGCCUAAAUUCAUUCCCCUAUAACUAUCCUUUUUUCAUUUUUUGAAAGAAAAUUCUAGAACUAUCUUGACUACUGACAACAUAGCUCAUUUUCAUGUGCGCUAAGAUUCUCUUUUAAACCAUGAGCUAUAUAAGAUUUUUCUGCGACAAUAAAUAUAACCUUCUCCAUGUUAAAUUCAGCGACAUUUAGCUACCAGUAGUAACAUUCACCAAGCAGAGUAGUAGGAGCAGCGAACUUCAGCGCCCCGACGCCGGGGACAUCACGCCCAUGCUGCUCUUCAACUGUGCUACAUUGUCCAGGUCCAGUACAAGCAGUGGAGGAAGAGGUGUAUGCCGACAUCUGGUCAUUGCUGCGCCCACUAAGCAAGCAAGUCACUCAAUCCUUAUAAAUUCCCUAUUUCAGAUAACUUCUACUUAUACAAAUUCAUCUAUGAUACCAGUGAUCUAAGAAGUAUAUAUUCAGCCGAUUGGGAUGUGCUAAGUACCAUAUGUCUACUGUUUUGGUACCAAAAGUAGUAUGAGAUUGAUAUAUGUGUUGAUUAUAUAUGAGAUUCCAUAGGGAUAAACAUGAUAUUUUACUUUGCAAUAUCGAAAGAUAUGUAGUCAUGUAGCAUGUAACAAAAUUUAUCUCAUGGAAAUAGCAACUCACAUGAAGUAUAAUGAGUUUUGUGUAUUAUAGGAUCUUCGAGUGAAUGUUUCAUAUGCACAAUUUUUGGGCGGAUUAUUUCUUGUACAAACAUGUUUUUUUCUGCUAUCGAAUAUUAGGAUUUUCAAGGAGAAUGGCAGAGCAUUAAAUCUGGAGGAAUAAUAGUUUCACUGACAUGGGCUAGGCCAAACUCCUACCAAAGUGUUGCUCAUUCAAAAUUUGUAUGAACAGACUAGAUCGGUAAUCUAAUAUUUGUAUGCAUAUGACAAAUAUGAUCCAUGAUCUUUAACUUGAAUCUUCAAAUGAUUUUAGCUACUUCCAAUUUCGGUGUGGUCGCAUUGUUGAUCGCGUUGAAACUGCAUAUGCUAAUGUAGAUCCGACUUGAGUCUCGAGUUUGUAGGUAUGGAGUUGAUUCACCUCUCUAUUGGUUUCUGGCUCUUUG